CCGGAAUCAUUGGGCGUAAAGCGCCUGUAGGUUGUUUAAUAAGUCUGUUGUUAAAGACUAGGGCUUAACCCUAGAAAAGCAAUGGAAACUACUAGACUAGAGUAUGGCAGGGGUAGAGGGAAUUUCUAGUGUAGCGGUGAAAUGCGUAGAUAUUAGAAAGAACACCAGUGGCGAAAGCGCUCUACUGGACCAUUACUGACACUCAGAGGCGAAAGCUAGGGUAGCAAAAGGGAUUAGAUACCCCUGUAGUCCUAGCCGUAAACGAUGGAUACUAGAUGUUGUGUAUAAUUUACAGUAUCGUAGCUAACGCGUUAAGUAUCCCGCCUGGGGAGUACGCUCGCAAGGGUGAAACUCAAAGGAAUUGACGGGGGCCCGCACAAGCGGUGGAGCAUGUGGUUUAAUUCGAUGCAACGCGAAGAAUUUUACCAGGGCUUGACAUACUACGGAUUUUUUAGAGAUAAAGAAGUGCCUUCGGGAAUGUAGAUACAGGUGGUGCAUGGCUGUCGUCAGCUCGUGUCGUGAGAUGUUGGGUUAAGUCCCGCAACGAGCGCAACUUUUGUUUUUAGUUACUAAUUCGUUAGGUUUUCUAGAAAGACUGCCGGUGACAAACCGGAGGAAGGUGAGGAUGACGUCA
rnacentral:rRNA from 1 species